AUCAGCGGGCUGCCCCGCGGCACCGGGGCCACCUAAGCGGCUGCUCUGCGCCGGGCGAGGCGGGUUCCAAGGGGAUCAAGGGAGCGGCGGGUGCUCGGAGGAUGCGGAGGCCUCCCUGUUUUCUUGGUAGAGUCGAUCCGCACUCAGUCUGACCCAGGACGUCACUCUGCCUGUCUGUUUUCUCAAUGAUAACUUGGCAGGAGAAGGGGGAAGCUGCCAGGUUUUCCCUGGGCUCAUAACCUGGGGAGCCAAGCGACCUGGGGUUCUGCUGCCAGCUCUGUCACUGACUUACCAUAUGACCCUGGACAAAUCACUUCACCACUCUGUGACUCAGCAUCUUUGUAUGGACAGGGUGAUAGUGAUACUUACCGUCCUGUCAAGCCCUUUGAGAUCAACAAAUGAAGUCCCCUAUGACUACUAAUGGUAGUAAGCACCAUGCCUGAUACGUGUUUUCAGAAUCCAAGCCCCUAAAUUAAGACAGAAGUGGAGAUGACAACAUGAUUAUGCAUUCACUGGAGAAGCUAUUCCAUGUGGCUUGGAUCCAAUCCAAUCCCUGUGGAAGUCAACGGAAAGACUCCUAUUGAUGUUAUUCUUAGCUAUCCAGACAGUUUUGACUAGCUGCUUCCAGGGAAGAGACAGAACUCCAAAUGACCCAAGUGAAGGUUUCUCUGUGGAGGUACACAUCCUUCUCGCAAAUCACUUUAAAAUGGCUUUCUACUUUCUGGCUUUAUAAAGUCAUCUUCAGCAAGCUGCAUCAAAGAAGACCUCAAGACCUGGUUUGCUUGUCCCCUUUUUAAAGGACCCUAACAAUGCAUUCCUCCAAAAGGCAAAAGAGACAGUCAAAAGAUUUCUGCAUAAAAAUCAAUAUAUUAUCUGUUCACUUCCAUUUGGGCUUCAUUCUGCCACAUUUAUUCAUGCUGAGUAUGUAUUGCUGGGUUGGAAAUGUUUUUCCCAUCCUGCAAAUAGUUUUGAGAUUCAAAACAUUUUCUCAGUCCAAAUUGAGAUGAAAAGUUGAUAUCUCAAAAUUUUCUGUGAACUGAACCCCUCAAAAAAGUUUGGUUCAGGUCAAUCAAAAGUUUUUGUUAUGACUCUUUUUUCCUGUAAAUUAACUUAAAUUUUGAAAUGUAAAGACACUUCAGACCUCUAAAAAGGAUGUUUUGACAAUUUCAAAAUGUUUUUCUAAUUUUUUUAAAAGGAGAUAUUAGUUAAAAUCAACCUUUACCCACAAAAUAUUUUGCAUUCAAUGAAUCAGCAUUUUCCAACAAAAAAAGUUUCAUCAAAAAAUUCUUGACCAGCACUACUGAGUAGUACUUUAUUCCAUGAGUAUUCCUGCAAAUAAUUAUUAAUGAACAUUUUUAUUUCAAUAAAUAUUGAAAUAAAUACGGCUAGGUGCUGUACAAAUACAGAUAAAGUGGCAGUCUCUGAUUCAAAGAGUUUACAGUCUAGAAUGGGAUUAUUCCUGGAGUAAGAUACUACUUAAUGUGAAGGGCAGGAGCAGACUCUGAAACUCACUCUAAGUUUUAACCUCCUUUGGCAUAAGAGAUUCAUAGAUUCCAAGGCCAGAAGGGACCACGAUAGUCAUCGAGUCUGACCUCCUGUAACACAGACCAUAGAACUUCCCUGAAAAAAUUCCUAGAGCAUGUAUCUUUCAGAAAAGCAUCCGAUCUUGAUUUAAAAAACUGUCAGUGAUGGAGUAUUCACCAUGACGCUUGGUAAACUGCUGCAAUGGAUAACUUAAGAAUAUAAGAACAGCCAUACUGGGUCAGACCAAUGGUCCAUCUAUCCCAGUAUCCUGUCUUCUGACAGUGGUCAAUGCCAGGUGUUUCACAGGGAAUGAACAGAACAGGUAAUAAUCGAGUGACCCAUCCCAUUGCCCAUUCCCAGCUUCUGGCAAACAGGAACACCAUCCCGGCACAUCCUGGUAAUAGCUAUUGAUGGACCUUUCCUCCAUGAAUUUAUCUAGUUAUUUUUUGAACCCUGUUACUGUCUUGGCCUUCACAACAUCGUCUGGCAAGGAGUUCCACAGAUUGACUGUGCAUUGUGUGAAGAAAUACUUCCUUUUGUUUGUUUUAAACCUGCUGCCUAUUAAUUUUAUUUGGUGACCCCUAGUUCUUGUGUUCUGAGAAGGAGUAUAUUACACUUCCUUUUUUACUUUCUCCACUCCAGUCAUGAUUUUAUAGACCUCUAUCAUAUUCCCCCUUAGUCAUCUCUUUUCCAAGCUGAAAAGCUCCAGACUGACUCUCCUUAUGUGGAAGCUAUUCCAUAUCCCUAAUAAUUUUUGUUGCCCUUUUCUGAACCUUUUCCUAUUCCAAUAUAUCCUUUUUUGAGAUGGGAUGACCAAACCUGCGUGCAGUAUUCAAGAUUUGGGCAUAGCAGGGAUUUAUAUAGAGGCAAUAUGAUAUUUUCCAUCUUACUUUCACUAUUAAAAAUGUACACCUUGUUUCCACUCUGAAUUUGUCUCUUAUUACUUCAUGUGCUGUUUCUAAAUGCUAGAAUUUAUUCUAGAAGUCCACACAUCUAUUUUCAUAAAUAAAUAAUAAAAAUAGUCACUUCCCCCCAUGAAAUAAGAUAUAUUUAUACUUGUGGUUAAAAAGACAAAAACACUAUUGCUCACAAAUGAUUUUCUUCUGCUAAUUUACAAUUUUUCAUUAUUCUAAGCUGAAUUCCAUUGUCAUAUAAUCAUAAACUGUAGGUCAUCCAUAAAUAUAAAAAGGCCACCUGUGUUGUGAAAUUUGCAGAAUGACAUGUCGAGAGUCCUAGAGAGUCUAAGUAUCUGCACCUGUAAUUUUCCAGCAAUUUGUAUAUUCCACAGCGUAUAAAAUACUCUGAGUUGCAUUUUACAUCUGCCCUUGGCAGUUAUAGGUUUAAGAUGUGAAAUAAACUCAACAUGAUUUCCUUAACAUUUGUGUAUUGCAAACAGAAAAGUCAGGUCAUUUUAUGGGGUUUGUGGGAAAAUGAGUUGCUAACUGGAGACUGGACAAUCAAAACUAAUGGACCAUUAGAACGUUUUCUGUACUCCCGUGAAGAAAGUCACAGCCCUUCUUCAGCUCUAACAUUAGCCUAUCAUCAAAAUGAUGUUUUAAUUGAGUCUGAAUCAUAGUUUUUCAGAUCUUUCCAUUCCAUGAAAAAAAAUUGUAUUUUAAGUUUUCAUUCCAAUUUGGAAUGAAAGCAAAUUUUGAAAUAUUGCAAUUUCUAGUGGGAUGGAAACUCCCAUUUUCAACCAGCUCUACCAUUAGUUGCUAUCUUAUUUCUCUAUUGAAAUGUCAUACUGUUCUCUAGACAACAAAUAAAAUACAACAAUAAGAAUAUCAAG